UCCCUCGUAGCUUGAUUGGUAAAGAAUCUGCCUGCAAUGCAGGAGACCUGGGUUCGAUUCCUGGAUUGGGAA
rfam:TPA: Bos taurus chromosome 9, whole genome shotgun sequence.